GGCCUACCAUGGUGGUAACGGGUAACGGGGUGUUAGGGCACGACACCGGAGAGGGAGCCUGAGAAACGGCUACCACAUCCAAGGAUGGCAGCAGGCGCGCAAAUUACCCAAUCCCGACACGGGGAGGUAGUGACAAUAAAUAACAAUACGGGGUUCUUUAGGAUCUCGUAAUUGGAAUGAGUACAAUUUAAAUCUCUUAACGAGGAACAAUUGGAGGGCAAGUCUGGUGCCAGCAGCCGCGGUAAUUCCAGCUCCAAUAGCGUAUAUUAAAGUUGUUGCAGUUAAAAAGCUCGUAGUUGAAUUUCGGGGUCAGCAGGUUGGUCGUGCCACUGGUAUGAACUGGUUUCGCUGAUUCCUCCUUUCUGAAGAACUGUAAUGUCAUUAAUUUGGUGUUGCAGGGAAACAGGACUGUUACUUUGAAAAAAUUAGAGUGUUUAAAGCAGGCUAACGCUUGAAUACAUUAGCAUGGAAUAAUGAAAUAGGACGUUCAAACCUAUUUUGUUGGUUUCUAGGAUUGACGUAAUGAUUAAUAGGGAUAGUUGGGGGCAUUAGUAUUCAAUUGUCAGAGGUGAAAUUCUUGGAUUUAUUGAAGACUAACUACUGCGAAAGCAUUUGCCAAGGAUGUUUUCAUUAAUCAAGAACGAAAGUUAGGGGAUCGAAGACGAUCAGAUACCGUCGUAGUCUUAACCAUAAACUAUGCCGACUAGGGAUCGGAUGAUGUUAAUUUUUUAAUGACCCAUUCGGCGCCUUACG
rnacentral:rRNA from 1 species